AAUUGGAAAUCUUACCAUCCCAACUUCAUGCCUUUUAUCAAUAUCUCAAGAUGAAGAAUUAGAAUUAAAAUAUGCAGAUUUUAUAAGAAAGAAAACAUCUCGCAGGUUAUCUCACUGCCCUCUUCAGUUUGCAUCGACAAGGAUAAGUCAUUAUUUCUGUAUGAUUGAAAGCGGAGCAAUGUGUUUGCUUCCCCAAGCCCUCAUUAUGUUUCCUGCAAGCCAGUUCAGGAGCUGAACAAUAAUGCAAUUACAGCUCAGUGUUUGUGAAGAGCAGUUCAUAUCCAUUACUGCUGGAACAUCAUGUCCUUCCUUUUAUAGGUUUUUGCCAGUGGAAAGGCUAAUAUAAUCAUGAAGGAUCAGGGGCAGUUAUAGGAUUUCCCUGGAGUUUCCUGUUCCUAAUGCAUACACUCCUUCAUUGUAAUGGAUUGACCUUUGAACACUAAUGUAAACCUUAUGGCUGGUUGUUUUAUUAGUUGCUAGAACCUUGCUCACUUGGGUUGUUAAUUCACCCUAAGCAAAGACCACCUGCAAUUAAUCUUUUUCUGAUUCUUGACACCAUGGUUUACAAUUAUCGAUUCCUUUUUUUAAAAAAAUUAAUUAGAUAUUUUAGUCUUUUACAAACUGACACAAAACUACAGGUCCCUUAAAUGAUUUGAGUGUCAGAAGAAAAGAGCCCUUACCAACCCAUCAAAGUUUGGUCUAUAAUGAUUAAAUUCAUUUAUAUACAAAAGUAGCUUUAACUCUUUAAGCCAAGAGCAUCUUUUGCAAAGGACAGAUGAAUCCAAAUAUUCCAUUCACCAUAGCUGCAUUUGAUCUGCCCCAUGUCCUCACCUGCUCAGUUGGUGACUGACAAGGACAAUUCAGACCUGCCUUGUACCUUACAAAUCAGAGUUGACAGUAUUGUCCAUACUUAAUGAAAUGGCCCCAAAGGAGGCAGACAUAGGAAUGAUGGCUUAGAUUAUAUAUCCACAGAUGACCAAGAAUGGAAGGUGCUUGUGUUUUCAACGUGGUCAAGAUAUAAGCAGGAGCAAGCUGUGACAGUCUUACUGAAAAUUGUCAGUGACGAAUGGAGCACCUGUUAUUCUGAAGUCAGCUGAAAUAGCUAUUCUAGAACAAAAUGAAAAAAAACACUUGCUUCCAGGUCUCAUAUACAGCAAAGAUUUACAAAAUCAAAGAAAGCAGAAGAGCCUUGAAAAAAGCCGGACAUCAGUUAAACUUUCAGCACUUGGUAGAUUAUAAAAGGAAGCACAUUCCAGCGCAUCGAGUUAUUAGAAGAUCUAAGAAAUCAUGCUGGCAAACUUUGUGUGGCCGUCUUCAUCAACUCCCCUUAGGAGAAGAGAUGCAGAGUAAGAUUAAAAGGAUCAUCUCCAAAGAGAGCGAGCAGAUGGAGCGAGG
rnacentral:lncRNA from 1 species